rnacentral:rRNA from 1 species
GACAGAGGGUGCAAACGUUGUUCGGAAUUACUGGGCGUAAAGCGAGUGUAGGCGGUUCGGUAAGUCGGAUGUGAAAGCCCCGGGCUCAACCCGGGAAGUGCACUCGAUACUGCCGAGCUAGAGUGUCGGAGAGGUUGGUGGAAUUCUCGGGUGUAGAGGUGAAAUUCGUAGAUAUCGAGAGGAACACCGGUGGCGAAGGCGGCCAACUGGACGAACACUGACGCUGAGUGAGCGAAAGCCAGGGGAGCAAACGGG